UACAGAAGCCCCGAGCGUUACCCGGAAUUACUGGGCGUAAAGCGCACGUAGGCGGAUUGUUAAGUGAGGGGUGAAAUCCCAGGGCUCAACCCUGGAACUGCCUCUCAUACUGGCAAUCUCGAGUUCGAGAGAGGUGAGUGGAAUUCCGAGUGUAGAGGUGAAAUUCGUAGAUAUUCGGAGGAACACCAGUGGCGAAGGCGGCUCACUGGCUCGAAACUGACGCUGAGGUGCGAAAGCGUGGGGAGCAAACAGG
rnacentral:misc_RNA from 1 species